GUAUGUUCAUUAGUACAUUCUUCAUAUUUUUACAGUACGAAAGAGAAGCAGCACAGCCAGGCCACAUCCCACACUGCCAAGAGAUGCAGAUGCUGGCGAUGCAGGUUCUUCUUCAGCAAACCCCCCUCCACUAAGGCGCCCAUCACAGGGCUCGGAUCCUCAACAUAGGAGGCCAACCAAGAGACGCCGUCUUGAGGCUGAAUCACCAGCAGCAUCCUCACCACCCCAACGGCGCAUCUCCAUAGUGUCGGCCCUGCCACCACAAGCCAUUUUGGCAAGCCCAGAAAGCGAGGAUCCUCAAUCCCCUCAGCUGUCUGAACCACACAUCAUGGCCGA